GAAAAAUGCUCAGUCUAGUGAAGGAACUAAAGACACAGAAUUCUGCCUAUUUUUACCGUGUUAUCUCGAUCAUAGCCAUUUUUGAGAAUUAAAAUGAGCAUGUGAUUAGAAUGGUAGGACUUAAGAGCAUGCAUAAUCUAAACUCGAAAAUUGUCAACGCAAGAAAGAUUGACAGAGAUGAGUACCAAGCCAGCAAAGUCUAUCUCAGAACCACUAGCUCAUCCCUUGAACUUGAUCAUGGAAGGCAAUCACAAGCUUUGGUGCUAUUAUAGUUUAUCACAGAAUGAAAUUUAAGGCUAUUCAUUAUUAAUGCAAGUGAAGCAUACCAGCUUCAAUAUUGAAGUCUAGUU